rnacentral:snoRNA from 1 species
AAGAUUAUACUUUCGGGGGUCAUUUCUAUAGUUUGUUACUAGAGAAGUUUCUCUGUAUGUGUAGAGUACCCNGUAGAGUACCGGAAACCACGAGAAGAAGGUGUGGUGUUCUUUCCUGAGUGUGAAGCUGACUCUGGGUGUUGUUUCCACAGCUACUUUUUGUCAUUGAUGAUAGUUCUUUCUCUUUUGGGGGAGUUAGAGGGAAAGGACUCCGUCUGAGUGGU